GUCUACGGCCAUAUCACCCUAAACGCGCCCAAUCUCGUCUGAUCUCGGAAGCUAAGAAGGGUCGGGCCUGGUUAGUACUUGGAUGGGAGAAAUAAAAUGAAGAGAAAAAUUAUAUUUUUGCUGAAGACA
rnacentral:rRNA from 1 species